UUUACAAGUAUCAAUUGGAGGGCAAGUCUGGUGCCAGCAGCCGCGGUAAUUCCAGCUCCAAUAGCGUAUAUUAAAGUUGUUGCAGUUAAAAAGCUCGUAGUUGGAUUUCUGUUAAUAAUUUAUAUAAAAUAUUUUGAUGAAUAUUUAUAUAAUAUUAACAUAAUUCAUAUUACUAUAUAUUUUAGUAUAUGAAAUUUUACUUUGAGAAAAUUAGAGUGCUUAAAGCAGGCAUAUGCCUUGAAUACUCCAGCAUGGAAUAAUAUUAAAGAUUUUUAUCUUUCUUAUUGGUUCUAAGAUAAGAAUAAUGAUUAAUAGGGACAGUUGGGGGCAUUUGUAUUUAACAGUCAGAGGUGAAAUUCUUAGAUUUGUUAAAGACAAACUAAUGCGAAAGCAUUUGCCAAGGAUGUUUUCAUUAAUCAAGAACGAAAGUUAGGGGAUCGAAGACGAUCAGAU
rnacentral:rRNA from 1 species